GAACGGCAGCACAGCAGAGCUUGCUCUGUGGGUGGCGAGUGGCGGACGGGUGAGUAAUGUCUGGGAAACUGCCCGAUGGAGGGGGAUAACUACUGGAAACGGUAGCUAAUACCGCAUAACGUCUUCGGACCAAAGUGGGGGACCUUCGGGCCUCACACCAUCGGAUGUGCCCAGAUGGGAUUAGCUAGUAGGUGGGGUAACGGCUCACCUAGGCGACGAUCCCUAGCUGGUCUGAGAGGAUGACCAGCCACACUGGAACUGAGACACGGUCCAGACUCCUACGGGAGGCAGCAGUGGGGAAUAUUGCACAAUGGGCGCAAGCCUGAUGCAGCCAUGCCGCGUGUAUGAAGAAGGCCUUCGGGUUGUAAAGUACUUUCAGCGGGGAGGAAGGCGAUGAAGUUAAUAGCUUCAUCGAUUGACGUUACCCGCAGAAGAAGCACCGGCUAACUCCGUG
rnacentral:rRNA from 1 species